CACGCCGACCGCUGGUCGUAUAUCUCCGCAGUAGGUUAAGUAUUUGUUAGCGAAAAGUCAUGCAGUAGUAGUGGUGUGGCAUGUCGGCUUUUGGUCUCGGUGAACUCUGAUGGUGUGAGACCCGUAUUUCUGAAGAAUUCAGUGGUGCUGACGUUCGAAAUAUUCAAGUGGCGUAGCGCCUCAGCAAUGUAAUUUGCGAGCCGGCGCUGUGCAGCAGCGUCGCCGUGUUCGCCCUUCUAGGCAGCGUCAUCACAUCGCACAUGCACCUUUACUUGACGGGCGUCGUAGGCAGAGGUAUUGUACGUAUUCUUCGCCACGACUUACGCAGCUCCAAAUUUUGUGACUCGGACACAAGACACCCGAAUGACUACAGUUCUGCAGUCUGAGAUGGUGCGACCUGAACACGCCCUUGCCCAAUCAAGCACGAAACCGCCUAUGCCCUUUGUACAAAAGAAUGUGAUUCCUCACCUACACAGACAAGAACAGAAGUUGUGUGCAAGGGAAAUAAACAAGGGAAAUUUAAGAAGCAAUCAAAUUGACAAGUGGAAGGAUACAUGUAUCAGCUGCCUCACAGUAUCAUUUUCAGAAGUGUGUCGCUAUAUGCGCAUUUGAUUCUAUGUUGGGUGCACACAGCGAUGGUGAUUUUUGUCUAUUUGUUGUUCUGCCUUUAGUUUCCUCGCAUGCAGCAGUCACAGCACAUGCACUUAGCAAGCACUUACUAAAAAAGCGAGUAUGAGCAAUAAACCAAUAGUUACAUUUCAGCACCUGUGUAUGUCCUCGUCAUUGAUGUUUGUGUGACUGUGUUUA